AAUUAUUGGUAGUAAAAGGGAAAAUUAGAAUACUAUUAUAUAAAUUAAUCUAAAAUUUCAGUCGAAGCUAGAAAACGUUAGUUAAAAACUAGGAUUAGAUACCCUAUUAUUCUAAAAUGAGAGUUAUAAUACUUAAUUAGUAAUAGAUAGUUACUUAAAAAUUAAAAAAUUUGGCGGUAAUUUAAUCUAUCCCGAGGAACUUGUUUCUUAAUCGAUAAACCACGUAGAAUCUUACUUAUUUUUGUAAAAAACAGUUUGUAUACCCCCCUUAACAGGGGAUUCUUUUAAAAAAAAAUUACUAAUUUAUAAUUGUUUUAAAAAAAUAUAUCAUGGGGGGGCACAUAAAAAAAUUGAAAAGAGUUACAAUAAAUUAUUUUUUAUGGAGUAAUAAAAUUAGGUUUUUUAUGAAGGAGGAGUUGGUUGUUAUUUAAGUUUUAUAAACCUACGUGACAUUAGUUCUAAAUUAUGUACAUAUCGCCCGCCGCUUUCUU
rnacentral:rRNA from 1 species